CAUCCUUUGCUGAGGAUACGGUUAACGGAGCGAAAGCGACGUUCAACCGCAAAACAAGCAGAGGGGGCUUAGUGGUGGGGUGACUGCGUACCUUUUGUAUAAUGGGUCAGCGACUUAUAUUCUGUAGCAAGGUUAACCGAAUAGGGGAGCCGGAGGGAAACCGAGUCUUAAUUGGGCGUUAAGUUGCAGGGUAUAGACCCGAAACCCGGUGAUCUAGCCAUGGGCAGGUUGAAGGUUGGGUAACACUAACUGGAGGACCGAACCGACUAAUGUUGAAAAAUUAGCGGAUGACCUGUGGCUGGGGGUGAAAGGCCAAUCAAACCGGGAGAUAGCUGGUUCUCCCCGAAAGCUAUUUAGGUAGCGCCUCGUGAAUUCAUCUCCGGGGGUAGAGCACUGUUUCGGCUAGGGGGCCAUCCCGGCUUACCAACCCGAUGCAAACUGCGAAUACCGGAGAAUGUUAUCACGGGAGACACACGGCGGGUGCUAACGUCCGUCGUGAAGAGGGAAACAACCCAGACCGCCAGCUAAGGUCCCAAAGUCAUGGUUAAGUGGGAAACGAUGUGGGAAGGCCCAGACAGCCAGGAUGUUGGCUUAGAAGCAGCCAUCAUUUAAAGAAAGCGUAAUAGCUCACUGGUCGAGUCGGCCUGCGCGGAAGAUGUAACGGGGCUAAACCAUGCACCGAAGCUGCGGCAGCGAACGUAUCACCCAAGACAACUUUACGGAGUUGACGAUUGACGGAGCGAAGCGACGUCAAAGCGUUCAUUAAAGUCGAGUUGGCUUAGGGAUACGUUCGUUGGGUAGGGGAGCGUUCUGUAAGCCUGUGAAGGUGUGUCGUGAGGCAUGCUGGAGGUAUCAGAAGUGCGAAUGCUGACAUAAGUAACGAUAAAGCGGGUGAAAAGCCCGCUCGCCGGAAGACCAAGGGUUCCUGUCCAACGUUAAUCGGGGCAGGGUGAGUCGACCCCUAAGGCGAGGCCGAAAGGCGUAGUCGAUGGGAAACGGGUUAAUAUUCCCGUACUUGGUGUUACUGCGAAGGGGGGACGGAGAAGGCUAUGUUGGCCGGGCGACGGUUGUCCCGGUUUAAGCGUGUAGGUGUGUGUUCCAGGUAAAUCCGGUUCACUUUAACACUGAGGCGUGACGACGAGGCACUACGGUGCUGAAGCAACAAAUGCCCUGCUUCCAGGAAAA
rnacentral:rRNA from 1 species